rnacentral:rRNA from 1 species
AACGAACGCUGGCGGCAUGCCUAACACAUGCAAGUCGAGCGCCCGUAGCAAUACGGGAGCGGCGCACGGGUGAGUAACGCGUGGGAACCUGCCCAGAGGUCUGGGACAACCGCGGGAAACUGCGGCUGAUACCGGAUGAUUCCUGAGGGACAAAGAUUUAUCGCCUUUGGAGGGGCCCGCGUCGGAUUAGGUAGUUGGUGGGGUAACGGCUCACCAAGCCUAUGAUCCGUAACUGGUCUGAGAGGAUGACCAGUCACACUGGGACUGAGACACGGCCCAGACUCCUACGGGAGGCAGCAGUGGGGAGUAUUGGACAAUGGGGGCAACCCUGAUCCAGCAAUGCCGCGUGGGUGAUGAAGGCCU